rnacentral:rRNA from 1 species
GUGGGGAAUCUUGCGCAAUGGGCGAAAGCCUGACGCAGCCAUGCCGCGUGAAUGAUGAAGGUCUUAGGAUUGUAAAAUUCUUUCACCGGGGACGAUAAUGACGGUACCCGGAGAAGAAGCCCCGGCUAACUUCGUGCCAGCAGCCGCGGUAAUACGAAGGGGGCUAGCGUUGCUCGGAAUUACUGGGCGUAAAGGGCGCGUAGGCGGACAGUUUAGUCAGAGGUGAAAGCCCAGGGCUCAACCUUGGAAUUGCCUUUGAUACUGGCUGUCUUGAGUACGGGAGAGGUGGGUGGAACUCCGAGUGUAGAGGUGAAAUUCGUAGAUAUUCGGAAGAACACCAGUGGCGAAGGCGACUCACUGGCCCGUUACUGACGCUGAGGCGCGAAAGCGUGGGGAGCAAACAGGAUUAGAAACCCCGGUAGUCC